AGACGCCAUGCGUAGUUGAGACAGGUUUAGGCGAUACGCCUACGUAGGAUUGGUGACCUGUGGUUCACCUAUGGAUUUGAGGAAAGUGGCUGAGCGAGUAGCCUCAGCGAUGGGUGUGGCCUAGAUUUACGAACGGGAGUUCACGUGAAUUCGUUACAAGAACGAGUUGAUGAUGAUCGUGGCAUAUGGUAUUCAAGGAUAUACUGCUCGUGCGAGACAUUGAGCUAUUGGAAGCCACGAGAGAUAGAGGAUUGAAGUUGAUGCUCCUAAGUGAAUUGGAGCUUGGGGAUAAUGUUCUUUUAUGGAUUGAGAUUGGAGAUGUACCGGAACGUGCCAUCUCGUAGUAGAGCAAGGAUCCGGUUGAGGAUUGGAGCACUCAUGAUUGGUCGAUGCACCAACGAUAUUGCUUCUAAGCAAUGCCGGUGAUCGAAUCGGAGUGUGUUCCCUGGCGGGAUGUGAAGUGCAAAGUGGAGUUCUUUGCGGGCUGGUUGGCGAGAGCUGUAAGAAUGUGUAGAGUUGUUGAAUGUCAACUUACACUACCACCGAGACUCACGGAGCCGUAAUGCACUUUCGGAGUUACACUUAGCAAAUGUGAGUGAAUUUGGUCUCACAUCUCUCGUAGUAGGCCUUUGGAUAGUUCCAAUGAGAGAAAGGCCACUCCGAGAUGGAAAAGUGCAUUGGAGUCCCCGAUUGCCCAAUGAAUUGAGUUGAAAUGAGUUAGUUUCGGGGAUGAAACACUUUUUAAGGAGGGGAGGAUGUAAGGUGCCGAACUUCUGUAGUUAUGAAGUUGCGGUGGAACAUAAUAUACCGAAUUUUAAUAUAAAAAUGAAAAUAAAUAAAAAUAGUAUGAGAUACUAUUUUUAUUGGAUUUGGAGAAGUGAAAUAUGAGUUAGAAACAACCUGUGUUGAAAUCGGAGUGAAAACAGAAGAUUUGAAAUUUUCUGUGAAAAACGGGGCAGAUAAAUUAGCAAAAAAUGCAUAGUGUCAGAAAAUUAUGAAAACUGGAGGAUAUGUCAGAAUUAUUUUUAUGAGGCUAGAUUUAAAGUUUCAUACCAUUCUGACACCCGAAAAGUAAAAAAUAAAAUCCGACAGUUAUCUGUUAAAGAUUGCAGUUCGGUAUAGUUUUCAGUGACCAAACGGGGCCGAAACUGAAAGUUUAAGAUAUAUUCUUGCUCAGUACGUUAAACCAAGCCAGCCUGUCAAAUUUGAGCUCAAACGGACAUUCAGAGGGCUUCGGCGAAAGAUAUCAGAUUUCGAGUUGCCCGAAGUGAAUAGUGUUUUGAGGGGUGUUAAUUA
rnacentral:lncRNA from 1 species